rnacentral:rRNA from 1 species
GAUGAACGCUGGCGGCGUGCCUAAUACAUGCAAGUCGAGCGAACAGACGAGGAGCUUGCUCUUCUGACGUUAGCGGCGGACGGGUGAGUAACACGUGGAUAACCUCCCUAUAAGACUGGGAUAACUUCGGGAAACGGGAGCUAAUACCGGAUAAUAUAUUGAACCGCAUGGUUCAUUGGUGAAAGACGGUUUUGCUGUCACUUAUAGCUGCAUCCGCGCCGCUUUAGCUAGUUGGUAAGGUAACGGCUUACCAAGGCGACGAUGCGUAGCCGACCUGAGAGGGGGAUCGGCCACACGGGAACGGAGACGCGGUCCAGACUCCUGAGGGAGGGAGCAGUAGGGAAUGGUACGCAAUAGGCGAGAGCUUGACGGAGCAACGCCGCGUGAGUGAUGAAGGUCUUCGGAGCGUAAAACUCUGUUAUUAGGGAAGAACAAAUGUGUAAGUAACUAUGCACGUCUUGACGGUACCGAAUCAGAAAGCCACGGCUAACUACGUG